UGAGACCAAUAUGAUCAAAGGAGCCAUGAGAGCAAAUCUGAGAAACCAAAUAACUCUCAAUGAUGAAAGGACCAGAAGGGAGAACGCUGAAAAAGAUGUUGCGAGCCUAAAGAAACAGCUGGAGACUCAGGGCUCGAUCACAGAAUUUGCCUUUGAAGUCGACCCAUUUGGCAAAUUUAUCCGUCUGCAAAACACAUCCA